rnacentral:rRNA from 1 species
UACAGAGGGUGCAAGCGUUGUUCGGAAUUACUGGGCGUAAAGCGCACGUAGGCGGCUUUGUAAGUUAGAGGUGAAAGCCCAGGGCUUAACCCUGGAAUUGCCUUUAAGACUGCAUCGCUAGAAUCGUGGAGAGGUGAGUGGAAUUCCGAGUGUAGAGGUGAAAUUCGUAGAUAUUCGCAAGAACACCAGUGGCGAAGGCGGCUCACUGGCCCGGUACUGACGCUGAGGUGCGAAAGCGUGGGGAGCAAACAGG